GGGGUUGUGGCUCAGUGGUAGAGCGCUUGCCUAGCAUGUGUGAGGCACUGGGUUCGAUCCCCUGCUCCA
rnacentral:tRNA from 1 species